rnacentral:rRNA from 1 species
UACAGAGGUCUCAAGCGUUGUUCGGAUUCAUUGGGCGUAAAGGGUGCGUAGGCGGCGCGGUAAGUCGGGUGUGAAAUCUUCGAGCCUAACUCGGAAACUGCGUCGGAUACUAUUCGGCUAGAGGAAUGGAGGGGAGACUGGAAUACUUGGUGUAGCAGUGAAAUGCGUAGAUAUCAAGUGGAACACCAGUGGCGAAGGCGAGUCUCGUGGACAUUUCCUGACGCUGAGGCACGAAAGCCAGGGGAGCAAACGGG